rnacentral:lncRNA from 1 species
UUGUAGGAAGAAUCGGUGGUCUUUGACCAUCUGAAAAGGAGGCAACUCGUGGAAAUAUGCCACCAAUGGUGAGUUCUUUAAGAGAGGUAAGUGUGGCAAGGCCCCAUCGGGAUAGGGGCAUCUUGAUAUUCUCACAACGGUAGAUACCAAGUGAUGUAAGAGCAGUGAGGUUUUGCAGUUGAUGAGGUAGCAGCUCCACAUUCUCACAAUUAUUAAUCUCCAGUUCUCUGAGUUUGUAGAGGCAAUCUGGUACAAUUUUGAGACAGGGAUACGACCGGAUACUCAAAUAUUCAAGUGAACUAUUAUUGGAGUGAAACGUCUCCUUUGAAAUCGACUCCAGUUGUGCACAAUCCCAAAUCUCAAGUUUCUUAAGGGUGGAGGGAAACUUGCCUGUGGGGAAGAAUGUGAGAGAUGGACAUUUCCAAAUGUCCAAGACAUGAAGACCACCACUGGUGGCGGUGGUGGUGUUGGAAUCAUGGUGCAUCAUUCCCCCCGGUAGAGACUCUAGCUUUUCACACCUCCAUAUCUUGAGUUCCUUGAGCGUGGUGGGUAACUCACCUUCUGGAAAACCAAUGAGAGAUGGACACGUAUGUAUGUGCAAGUAUUCAAGGAGACACACGUCGCUACCGUUAUUACUACCGUCUUUCAUCACCAUCAUCCAAUCAGGUAGACAUCGUAGACCUUCACAACUAUGAAUAACAAGACGUCUAAGCAUGGGCGGGAACCCCAACUCUGGAAAUGACACCAGCUUUGGACAAUCAUAGAUUUCCAACUCUCCAAGACAUGUUAGCCUGUACAGUCCAUUGGGAAGCUUCUCUAGGUUAUUACACCACCUAAUUUUCAAAGAUUGAAGCUUGCUAGGCAGCUCGUGCUUUUCCUUUUCUCCCAAGGAUACAAGCUCGGGACAACUGCUAGUUUGCAACUGCUGAAUACCAUCAAAUCCAUUUUCCCACAAACACGUCAAUUUAUCACAUCUAUCAAUGUCUAAAACUUGAAGCCCCGACAACAAUUGCAUACAACCUUCAUGUAAUCUGGUGAGCCCUACCAUUCUAUCAAUUCCUAACUCGGUGAGUGAAGGCAAUUCCAAUCCACUCCUUAGUACCGCCUCAUUGCAAUCUUGUACUCUUAAUUUAGAAAGAGAUGGAAGCCUUUCAAGUGGAGACACCAACUGUGGGCAUGUCCCAAUGGAGAAAUGUACAAGGGACGGUAGGUUAGUGGGUAGUUUCUUGAUUAAUUUGGGGCAAUUUAUGAUUUCAAGGUGAAGGAGACAAGGAUAUGGCUCUGAUAAAGAUGGACUCUCCCAAUCUUCCCAUUGUGACAUAGCCGAAAAAGAUAGAGACUCUAAGGACGGGAAAGGCUUAUUGGGAAGACAAGUCUCUCCAUAAAACUCUCUACCCACAAUUUUUACUUCUUUUAACCCUUCAAUCCUUACGUGUUUGAGCAUGGGUAACCACCCCAAACACGGUAAAGAUGUGCAAUUUCUGCAAUUCACCAGAUUUACAUCCACCAUCUUCGAGAAUGAAACAUCUCCUAUCCAAGGGGGAAAUUCUGGACCACCAUAAUACUCAAUUUUUAGUUUGUUCAAAUUGAAGUGUGGCUGUAAAGAGUCAAGUACAUCUUUUUGAUUCCUUGCAUUGUGUGAAUCAUUCAACCCAGCACUCCACUCUAUCGUCAAUUCUUCAAGCUUCUGCUUCUUGUUUAGACUAGCAUCCCUUGCAUCUUGAACAUUUGCUACAUUUUCCAACUUUGAAAUGCAAAGUCCCCCUUGAAGUUGGGGCAUAUUCCUUAACUCCUUUACAUUCAAACCAUUGUCUUUACCCACAAUAAAAUUAGACAAUACUUGUAAGCCUUUUAAUUUGCAAAUUCGUGGAGGCAUUUCUUCUAGAUUUGUAUUGGUCACAUCAAGGUGUCGAAGAUUAUUUAGGUUUCCAAUGCUCAAAGGCAACCUAAUAAGCUUCCGACAAUUUGAUAAUAUUAAUGUCUCUAAGUUAUGGAGGUUACCCAGUGAAUCAGGUAAUCGUUUGACUUUUGUUCUGGAUAAAUUAAGAUACCUAAGGUGUUUCAAAUCACCAACUGAACUUGGUAUCUCACUUAUCCGAUAACCACUCAAUAAAAGCACCCUUAGGCGUCGUAGCUUGGGCAUCAAUCCCUCAAGUACCUUGUUGCUUAACCAAUUAUAAUCCCAUAAUGGAUCAAUUGGUAAUGCAAUAAACGUACGCAAAUUCUCCAUCCCAUAAAAGGCUUCAAACUUUUUGAAGAUAUCGUAUCGGUCACGAAUGAAUGAUGAAUGACGAGCCUUUUUAGAAAUAGUCUGCUGCUGAUUACCUUCCAAAUUCUUUUCCAGAGAAAAACAUAUUUCUCCACCAACAAAUUUUGCUAAAUCGUUAACGAGAUCAUGCAUUACGAAUUGGGAUUUAUUGCUACUUGAUGGUUGAAAAAAUGAUCGAGACAACAAUUCCUGGAAGUAGUUAGCGCCUAAAUCUUCAAUUUCGAUUUGUUGCCUAUGACAUUCUAAGUGUUGAAUUAGACUCUCUGCCAUCCAUAAGCGAAUCAGUUCUCUCUUAUCAAAUUCAUAGUCUUUCGGAAAUAUUGCACAAUAACUGAAACAUCUCUUCAGUGGAGAGGGGAGGUGAUUAUAACUUAAUCUUAAUGCAGGAAGAAUACCGCAUUUAUCACUCGGUAAAUCCCAUAUUUUGCUAGUCAAAAUAACAUUCCACUCAUGUUCUCUCUGUUCAUGGCGUAGAAGACUACCGAGUGCUGUUGCUGCCAAAGGCAAGCCUCCACACUUUUUUACAAUUUCCUUGCCGAUCAAUGCCAAAUUGGAAUGCUCAUCAAUGUUGCUAUUUCCAAAUGCAUGUUUCUUGAACACCGACCAACACUCAUUAUCUGAUAAAUUUUGUAGCUCGUGCAAGUUCUUAUCUCCUUCCAUUAUAUUUGCGACCUUCUUACUCCGUGUCGUGACUAUGAUUUUGCUGCCUCGUGAACCCGACAAAAAGGGAGACUGUAAGCAACGCCAAUCAUUAUAGUUGUCAUUCCACAUAUCAUCGAGAACCAGAAGAAAUUUUUUUCCCUUCAAUUCCUCCCCCAAUUUAUCUUGAAUUUGAUGGAAGUCUAGUGAAUCAGUAUUGCUCUGAGAAGUACUGACCGAGUUGAGGAUUGUCUUGGUUAUUCUCACUGCAUCGAACUGAUCUGAUACACAAACCCAGGCCUUUAGAUCAAAAUGCUUGGCUGUCUCAGGAUGAUCGUACACCAACCUUGCUAGUGUGGUCUUGCCCAUACCACCCAUGGCCACGAUGGAAACUACAGAAACAUUGGUUUCAAUGGGCUCAUCCCUAAGCAGCAUAUCCAUUAUAAUCUGUUUAUCAGCAUCCCUGCCAUAAACCCAAGGUUCGUAUACCAGAGAUGUAGUGAGUGGCCUUUCCCAAGUAGACUGGGUUAUAGCAGCCACCUUGUCCAAACCAAGCCCAGCCUUUUGGGCAUAUAUAGCUUCUAAUCGGGUGGUAAUGUCCUUUAUCUCGCACCCCAUCUUAACAUUACGCAUACAACCAAUAGGAGUGAAAGUAGUACAACAAGUAGGGAUAAACUUGCGUACCUUGCUUGUGCUGCCUUCACCAUCAGCUUCCGCCAUCACCUUUCUUCUUAAAGCUUCGUAGGCAAACUCGUCCAAGAUGUCCUCCAUGUCAUAAACCAAAUCCCUCAGAUCGCCCAGCCACGUUUUCACCGACUGCUUCGUGAUCUGCUUCUCCUCCGCGUCAUUCAGCACUUCAUCAAUCUCCAAUAAUUUUUUCUCCCAUAUUUCGAGCUCGGCGCGGAUUUUCUCUUGGCGUGCAAACUUGAGAUCAGGGGAGCGCAGUUGGUUAAACAAAGCUUGAAGGGAGUAAGAAAGAACAACCUCUGCAACAACUUCCAUGGUUCGUUGGUAGGGAAAGAGAGAGGUAGGAUACCAAGUGGAAACAAGAGAAUAAAAAACAAUUGGUUUGCUCUAUCAAGGCUUCCCCAAUUAUCAAAGACAGUGGACUCUGCUCCUUCAGAGUGGUGGGGCUCACACGUAAAGAAGAAGAAACUAAGGGAAAAGAAGGAAUCCAAGGCAACUGGUGCUAAGUGGAGCCAUUGGAGAGAUAAUUAUUCAAGUCUUGGACCACUCUCCAAUUUCCCACUACACUGGUUUUAGGGGUGGGUGACAUACUCACAUGAAGUGACAGAAAGCAGGGCCCUCUAAUUCAAAGUUUAUUUUACUAUUAAAUAAAUAAAUAAAAAAGUCAUUUUCUUAAAACCCUUCUACAAUUUUCUGACAAAGCAAAUGACUUCUGUAAGCAGGAUACCAUUCUUGUGAAUGGGAAAAGGAAGAAGGUUGAAGGAAGAAGAGUAAACAAGUUUUCCCUUUAUUUUAUAUAGAUUGGUGAUUAGGCUGAAGUAGAGAUACCUUGCUACCUCGCUGCAUCUUCAAACGAUAAUGUUGAUUAAAGAUGAAUUGAAAGCCAUGCUUUGCCUGCGAAGUUUGAUUAGAGAGGAAUCUCUAAAUCAAAUUUUGUGAAACAAUUGGUUUGCUUGCUGUAUCAAGGCUUAGCCAAUUAUCAAAGACUGAAGGUAAGAGAUAAGGAGUUGAAGGCAACAGCUGGCAAGCUGGCAAGUGGAUCCAUUGGACAUGAUUUGAUUAUUCAAGUCUUGGACCACCCUGCAAUUUUCCACACCGCACUGGGUGGUGGGUCAGAGAGUUAAGGAUAACGUCAGAAAACCAAACAUGAAGCGACGGAAAGCAGGGCCCCUGUACGAAAAUAUUACUCUGCAACAAUCAAAAUAAUCAAAGAAUCAUGCAUUGAAAAAUUGCAAGCUAAUGUUGUUAAAUUUUAAAAAAUAUGAAUUCAGAAAUUAUUUGUAAAUAUUUAGAAAUUGCUAAUGUUGGCUUUAGUUCAAUUUCACAAAAAUAGAAUCAUGCAUUGAAAAAUUGAUUUGAAGUUGAAGUUUUACAAUUUCCUUAUUUAUUUUCUAGGAGUUCAUAUAGGAAUAAGUUACAAAUACAUGGGAGGAACUUACAAAGAUGUAAACAAGUAAUUAGGUUAAGGACUCCACUUCCAAGCAGGCCAUGUGCUUUUAAGGAUAGAAAAAAAAUUGUUUAACACAUUAAUAAGAACAAAUAAUUUAAUGUUUAAGAAUAUUAAAAUAUGAAUAAAAAUAAACAAUUUAAUCUUAGCCAGAUUGUGUUCUAUUUAAAAUUCAAUAAAAAUCUAUUUAAAUUUAAGAUAGAGAAACAAACUAGAUAUAAUUUUUUCACUUCUUAUAUUUUAAAAUAUUUUUUAAUUAAGCAUUCUUAAUAAUAUUUUUAUUUCUUAUAAAAAAAGUUAUAAUUAUUUCAUGGAUGAUUAUUAACUUUUUUUUUUAAGAGAAAGAUAUAUCGUUGAAAUAGUUUUUAAGAAAAGACAAUGAAAUAGAAUCUGAAAGUUGAAUUAUUGAAAAUAUUGUAACCUCUAAAGAUAAAAUGAAAAUACUAAAACAUUGAGUGAUGAAAUUUAGGUUAUUGAAUAAAAAUAUAAAUAAAUUAGAUCAAAAUAUAAAAAUACAAAUAAUCGAGACAUAUGUGAUGCGUGAGACAUGCUAAAUAAAAAAUUUUGCUCCCACAAUUUCUAUAAUAUUAAAAGAAAGUCAAUUUUUUAAUAAUCUCUUUCCAUCUUUUGGUACACGCAAUAGAAUAAAAUAUAACCAUAAUUCUAUACAUUUCUUUCACGGGAAAAAAAGAAGGAAAAAACUUGGGGUGCUGGCACAUUGGGUGUCCACAAGUGGACCUUGUAUUCAAUUAUUGGUAAGAGAUGGCCCGGAUAGGUGGCAAUUAUUGGGGCUCUUUUACUUAAUAGAAUAGAUUUAUAAAAUAAUUUUAAAAAUGACUUCAAAAAGUAUAUUGAAGUCUAUGAUAAUUGUUAAAUGUUGUCGAUUUGAUUUUACUUCUAAUAAGAAAUCUUUUUUAUUUUAGUAUGGAAACUUUUUAAAACAGUGAUUUACUUCCAUUGAUUUAAUGAUAUUAUUAAAUUAAAUUUAAAAAGAUUUGUUAAAAGUAAGUUUUUUUAUUAAGGUAGAGUUGGAUUCGAAGUUUUAAAAUUAAGUUAAAAUAUCUUAAUUAAUUUUUGACAAUUUUGAGGUUUUAUUUUAAAAAAAUUUCUUAAUUAAUUUAUAGAAAAUUAAUAUUUUACUUUUUAAACAAAAAUUAUUUUGUUAAUUAAUUUUUGAAAAUUUGAUUUUUUUUUUUUAAGAAAUUCAAUUUCAAACCAUCUAGGCUCUUAGGCCUAUAUAUAUUAUCUAAAUGUGUUUUUGGGUUGGAUGCUUUAAUAAAAUUAACCUCAACUUGCUCUAUCAUUCAUAAACUCUCAACAAAGAAUUCACUAAUCAAAUCCCAUAGUUUUUUAUUUCCAUAAUUAAUAUGAUGAUUUUCCACAUAAAAUUGAUUGUCUUGUAUGUAAUUGUGAUUUUAUUAUUUAUAUGGAUAUGUGAAAUUGACAAUAUUGCCCCUAGCCUCAAGCAUAGGGUGUUACAAACAUCCUUAUUUAUCGACUCUCAACAUGAUUAUACUUUUCAUAGUAACUUAGCAUGAAAAUCUUUCAAUUGUCAUAUUCUAACAUUAUCUAUAAGUUUCUUGAGUAUUGAAAUUGACAAUGCUUUUGUGAAUAAGUUUGUUAAAUUAUCAUUUGAUACUUUCUGAAUACUAAUUUUAUUACUCUUGUGGAGUUUAUGAAUAUAAAAGAACUUGAAUGAUAUAUGGUUACUUUAGUUUGAGUUUUCCUCUUUUUAUCAUUAUGGCCUAUAUGAUUCUUAUUGAUCUAAAAAUUAAAUUUAAAAAAUUAGGCAAGAGAUUAACCUACUUACAAUUUAUUAAGCCUGAGUCACUAAAAUUAGUCAAUUAAAUUAGUUUGUUAUCUUUUUCUUUUUAUAAUAAUAGUUGGCAAGGUUCUUAUCUAUAUCAAGAUUAACUUAACUAUUAGGUAAGGCUUAAGAGAACUUACUUGCAAUUAUUAAAUUUGAGUUAAUAAAAUUAAUCAAUAGAAUUAACUCGUCGUCUUUUUGUUUUUAUAAUUGUGGCCGACUUAGUUCUUAUCAAUAUGAAGAUUAAAUUAAAAGAUUAGGUAACGGCACCCACUUGCAAUUUAUUAAACUCGAUUAAGCAAAAGUAGCUUCACUUAUUUCUCUUUUUAUGAUUAUGGUCAGCAAGGUUCUCAUCAACAUCAAGAUUAAUUUAAAAGAUUAUGUAAGGGAACCUAUUUGCAACUUGUUAAAUUUGACUCAUUCAAAAGGUUAGUCAAGCAAAUACACUUGCAAUAAUUUACAAUCAAAAUCCACUUUAAAAUAAUAAAUAUAAGCUAUCUUUUUUUGGUUGCAUUGAACUUAUUGAUAAUUAGAUUUAAACAUAAUUAAUAUAAUUAUUUAAGUAUUAAUUAAGUUUUCAAAACUAAUUAAAAUUUAAACAUCACUAAUUAAAUGAAAUAGUAUAAAAUUUAAUUAAUUAUUAUAUAUAUAAAAUAAACUUUAAUUAUCUAAUUAAAAUUAUUAAAUACUUAAGUAUUACCAUGCCUAAGAAUUAAAAGAACUUUUCAUUUUUUCAAGGCAUAAAAAAAUAACAAAGGAAAAAUCUUGAUUCAAAUAAAUAAAUAAUUCCAUGGAAAAUAUAGAAAUGAAAAUAAUAUUUAUAUUGUGUAAUACUAUAUUGCAGUAGUCUACAAUUUAUCAGUCUUAUUUGGAUUGAUUUUUAAGAAGUCAAAAGUUCUUUUAUAAGCUCAAGAAGGACUUCUAUGUCUCUUUAAUUAAUUUUAUUUGAAUGGCUAAUGGUUUAAAAAGAAGAUAUGAAAACUACAUAUAUUUUUUUUUAUACUUUUUAUAAAGGUGCAUAGCACCUCAUGCUAAUAAUUUUGUAUAACAAAAUAAAUAUUUCAAAGGCACCUCCAAUUACCUAGAAAAUGAAUUUUCAAUUUAUCAAAUACUUAAUUUUUGUAACAAAGAUGUUUUUGAGCAUUAUCGAACAUUUCUAACUUUUCUAAAAUCAUGACCAAAUGACUCAUAAUCUUUUCGAAUACUAAAACAUUCAUCAAAUUAUUUUGUUAUGAGCUUUUUAUUUUAAUUAAAAGGUUAAAAUAAACACUAACUUUAUUAAUUUUAUGUUCCAAAAUAAGUUUCUUUGAAAGCUUGUAAUGUAAAUUGAUUAAUGAAUUUCAGUUAUGAAUGAUCUCGGGGAGUUUGAAUUAGAAAUUUUGAGAUAACACUUUUUUUUAAUUGUUUAUGAUUAAAUAUGUAUCAAAUAAACGUACAAAACUGAAAAGACUUUAGAGGGUGAUGAUAAAUCAAUUUAAUGACUUAAUUUAAGUUAUUAAAUAUAUUAAGCAUGUUUGAUAAAAUAAUAAAGUUAAAAAUGAUUAUGAGAAAUCAUCUUAACAAUUAAGACUCCAUGACUUAAAUACAAUUAAUUUAACUUAAAGUCAUCUUACCCCGAUAAAUAUCAAGUUUUACCAAAAUUGUUGUUAAUGAUCUCAAUAAUUUUUUAUUUUCUUUCUAAAUAAAAUUAUUUUCAUUUAUUUAUUAAUGGAUUAUGGAGAAUAACCAUCCUCUCCCCAUCCUCUUUUUAAAUUGCAUACCAAAAGUUAGAUAGAGAUUCAAAAAGGAUCCAUAAAUGCAAGUGAUGGAAGGAGCAAUUAAUUUGUUUUAUUAUUCACCAUUUUUCAAAUUCCAUUUUCUGUGAAUACCCCUCCUACCUAAAUGACUUUUAAACAAAAACUUUGAUCAUGUUUUCUAUGCUUGUUUUUAAAAAUUAUUUUUAGUGUUUUAUAGAAAUAAAGGUGUUUGACAAAUUAUUUUUUAAACCAGUUUUUAAAAAUAAAAAAUAAAAAUUUUGUUUGAAUAAAUUAUUUAAUUUUUUUUUUAUUUUGUAAAAAUAUUAUAAAUUCAAUUUAUAUAACGUGAAUUAAACAAAAAUCUUUUUAUUACGUUUCCUUCCUUAGGUUAUAUUUGGUUUUCAAAAUUUUGAAGGAAAGAACAUAAAUAAAAAAUAAACUUUGCUGUAGUAAAUUUUCUCUUCCUUUUAAUUAAAAAAAAUAUUAAGAAAUCAAAAUCUUAGCUGGAUCAUUGGAGUCAGCGUGGGACUUCCAGGCUGGCCCGUGUGCAUGCCAUUAUUUAUUUAUUUUUGUAAUUUCAAAGCAUAUUAUUUUUAUUUUCAAUAUUUUAAGACUGGCGCAUUUUUCAAGCUUAAGAUUCUCUUUAUAAUUAUGGACCUAUGGUUGUUGGUUGUAUCAAGAUUAAUUUAAAUGUUAGAUAAGACUUAACACAAUUUACUAGCAAUUUAUUAAAUUUGAUUUGAUAAAAUUAGACAAUAGAAUUAGCCUGUCAUCUUUUUCAUUUUAUAAUUAUGGCCGGCUUGGUUCUUAUAAAUAUGAAGAUUAAAUUAAAAGAUUAGGUAAUGACACCCACUUACAAUUCAUUAAACUCGAUUUAGUAAAACUAGCUUAUAAAAUUAGCUUGACUUUUUUGUUUUUUAUAAUUAUGGUCGACAAGCUUUUUCUCAAUUUGGGAUGACAAUAAGACGAUUUUUUUUUUACCUAUCUCUAAUAAGACAAAUUUGAAAUUUAAAUAAAUCAAUUAGGAGUGGAUUUGAGAAUUUUUUUUAAAAAAACCUAAGGCAAGUUUGGGAUGAGUUUGAGUAUUACCUAGUCCUGCCAACCCUACCUUGAUUAUACAUAAAAUUAAUUUAAUUUAACUUUUAUUUUCCUAUUUUUAAUAAAAUAAGUUAUAAAAAAUUAUAAUAUUUUAAUCAUUUAUAAAAUAUGUUUAUUUUGAUAUAAUUUAAUUUUUUUAAAAAAAUUAUUAUUAUCAUUUUUUUUUAAGUUAAAGCCAAGGUAUAGAAAAUUUGUAUACCCAUCCUGCCCUACCUCAUCCCAUUUAAUUUUUUUAAUAGGACGACUGACGAGUAUGAAAAUUAUUUUGAAUAAAUGAAAUAGGAGUGGAAUGAGUGCAACCCAUCCCCAACUUGCACUGUUGUCUUCUCCAACGUCAAGAUUAAUUUAAUAAAAGAUUAGGUAAGGGAAUCUAGUUUCAACUUAUUAAAUUCAAUUAAUUUAAAAGGUUAGUCAAGCAAAUCCACUUGCAAAAAUUUAAAAUCGAAAUCCACUUCAAAAUAAUAAUGAUGAGCCAUUUUUUUUCUUCUUGCAUUGAAUUUAUUGCUAAUUGGACUUAAAUAUAAAUAAAACUAAUUAAAAUUUAAAUACCACUCAAUAAAUAAUAUAAUAAAAUAUAAUUAUCUAAUUAAAAUUAAUAAAUACUUAAAUUAGGUUGGAGUUAUUUGGCCUCACCCAAAGUUCAAUUCGAGGUGGAUUUUUUAAUCUACGCAUAAUUUAAAUUGUAAAAGAGGCCAUCCAAGUCUUUUCAAAUUCAUUUAAAUUGUAAAAGAGGUCAUCCAAGUCUUUUCAAAUUCUUAUUGAGUUUGAAUUUCGUUAUGUUGAAACUUCCCAAAUUUGAUUACUAAUUUAAUCCAUGAUAAAUUAAAGUGAUGGUUUAAAAGAAUGAAAUAAAAUUUGAACAUUUGUCGAGAGAUGGACCGUCUUUAGUAUUAGUAAUUGGCUUCUGAUAGAUUUGCAAGGAUGUAGCACAACUACAAGGCUUGGUGCGAUGGGGAGUGUCUGGUGGUCAAGAGUGCAUACAUGAUCCCAACUUACUGUUUAAACUAGGCAAAAAAGUUGUCAUAGGAUGAUAUCUAACUGUAAAUUUACCAACAACAAAUAAUUGAUUUCGAAAUUAGGACUCCCAAGGGUGUUCUCGUUGAGUGGUUAUGCAAUAAAUGAGACACCAAAUUCAUUCUAUGGUUUAAAACAUUUGAUUCAAGAGAUGAUCAUUUAUUAUAAUCUUCAAAUGUUGAUACAAUCAAGUUAUAAACAUUUUACCAAGAUACCUAUUAACUUCGGGAAUCUAAUUAACCUUUGAUAUCUUGAUAUUAUUGUUACAAGUCUAUUAGAAGAAAUGUCUUUAGAAAUUGACAAACUAAAAGAUUUGUAAAUACCGUCUAAUAUCAAUCCCGGAUUGGAUGGGGAGAAAGGUUCAUGAUAUAUGUAGUGAGAUUCUCUUAAUUAUUAUGUUGAUGAAUUUUGAGCCGAGUGUUUUGCCCUAGAGACACCAUCUGAAUGGGCCCUUUUGUCCCAAAGACAACAUCUACAUGGAAAGGAGCAGUCGUUAAUUCAAGGAAAAAUCUUUCCACCUGAAUCUAAACUUUUCCAGAUGCUCGCUCUACAGCAGGUUUGGAUAGCCCAACUGAUUGAGUAGCCUAUCCCAAGAAGUCAAAAUAUGAAGUUUUGUUGAUUUGAAUCCAUUAUUUGGUCCUAAGUCGCUGAAUCUUUCUGAAUUUUCCACAGUAAUCAUUCCAAAUAUCCCAAAAUUUUAGUUCAUUUGGCUGAACUGCUAGGGAGUGAUAAUGACAAAAAACUUUAAUUUGAUUUAGGAGGGUCACCUGUAUCUCAAUUCAUAGAUUCUAAAGAAUGGAUUACUUAACAAGAAGCAAACCCAUCAGAAAUGCUUAACCCUCGAAUCUUACUACGAGAAAAUGGAACAUAAACAGCAAUGACCAAACGCUCAUUUUCAGAUAAUCAACGAAGCUAAAACCGAAGAAAAAUCAAACCAAUUCUUGAAAAAACAAAGCAAUAAGAGCUCUUCAAACUAUCAAAUUUCUAUAAACGCAGUAAAAAUAAAUAAAAAAAAUCCACAACUGCAACUAACUAGCUGAAAAGAAUAGUCCUUGAAAUUACCCUUUCAAUGGAUGACUCAGAGGAACGAACAAACCGGACAACUGGGCUGGCCUUGGGGUCAGGGAGGGCAUAGUUGAAGGUGGAAUUGAGGGGUCUAGAGGACUCAACCGGGGGCUUUGAUGGUGGGUUCGAAGACAAGAUGGUUUCAGUAGGAGGAGAUGGUGGCGGCGGCGGCGGUGAUGAUUCAUGAGAUGAUGAGCUCACGGAAGCGAGACAAGGCGAAAAUCGCCUGUGAUUUGUGGGAGGACGAAGACGAGACAGGGAGAGCGACAGUGGAGUGUAGGACAUUGCAGCGAAGAGGGCCAUCGCAGAGGGAACUGAGAGAGGAAAGGACAAAACAAAAUGAAGAAAGCGUGGUGUGAGCCUGUGAGGAGUCUGAGGACUGACAUAGUGACAUAUGAGGUCAAUGUUUUGUGUGUGUGGAGCCCACGGUUGCUCAUCACGCGGGUAAAUUAACGGUCUGGUUUAAUCGCAUAGCUCACAAUUCUGAGUCCGAAAAUCAUUUUAAAUACUUUCUUAUUUAUUAUGCUCGUAUAUAAAAAACAAAAUAUAUCAAUUAUAAAUUUCACAAAUUAAUUUUUUUAACCGUUGAUUUGGUUAAUAAAUAUAUAUAAUAAAAUUAUACUCUUUCUCGUAAUUAUUUCCAUAUAUAUAUAUAUAUUUCUUGGGUCAGAUUUUCUUAAGAUUAAUUUUGAUGAUUAUGGAGCAAAAAAUUAAAUUUUAGGAGGAUUUAUUCUCAGUAGAAAGGAUUACUUGGAGGAUAAUGUUGAAGGUCUAGGAGCCGAAUAAUCUAAGUAUGAGGAGUUUAAGGUUAUGUUUAGUUCCUUAAAGUUAUUAAGGAAAAAAUAAAUAAAUAUUAAGUAAAUAAAAAAUAUUAAAAAAAAUAAAUUUCUUGUAUUUAAUUUUAUAAUAAAAAAAUCAAACAUAAUUAAAAUGGUAAAAAAUUUAUAUAUUUUUAAAUUGUUAAUCCUUAUAUAAUAAAUGAAAAUAAUUAAAAAAAAUUAUUUUAUUUUAUUUUAUUUACUUUCCAUCACUUUUUUCUUUGAAAUAGUGAAUGAAAAAAUAAAAUUAAAGUUAAUAAAUUAAAUUAAUUUAAUUUGUUAUUUCAAACUUAUUUUAAAUUUUUAUAUAAAGAUAAAAUAAUUUAAAAAUGUAUAGAUUUUUAACCAAUUUUAAUUAUAUUUGAUUUUUUUUUAUUUUUCAUAUUAUAACAUAAUAUGAAAAAAUCACUUUCCUCGUUAUUUUUUUCUUUAUUACUUUUUGAAACAAAUAUAACCUAAGAGUAUGUUUGGUUUCUGAAAAUUUAAGAGAAAAUGUUAAGGAAAGAUAAAACAAAAGAAAAUAAAAAAAUAAAUUCAAAGUCAAUAAUUAUUUUAUAUAUUUUUUAAAAUUCAUUUAACUUAUUUUCCUCUAUUAUGUAAAGAUUAAAUAAAUUUAAAAUACAUCAACUUUUAACUAAUUUAAGUAAUACUUGAUUUUCUUUCGUAUUUUCUAUAUUAAAAUUAAAUAGAAUAAAAUCAUUUUUCUCAACAUUUUUUUUGCCUUAGCAUUUUCCUAAAAUCAAAUAAAACAUAAAAGUUUUGAAUUGAAAGCGUAUGUCAUUGUAUAAUUUUAUUGAUUGGUUGGAUCCUUACUAGGGAAUGAAGUCGUUUUUUGUUUUUUGUAUAUAUUUUGUGUGCUUUUUCUAUGCUAUUGAUAUGCGCUUGGAGAUUUUAAUAAUAUAUAUAUAUAUAUAUAUAUAUAUAUAUAUAUAUAUAUAUAUAUAUAUAUAUAUAUAUAUUUAUAUAUUUUUCUUAACUUCUUAUUUUUAUUUUUAAUGUGAAAGCACUUUUAGAUUUAGCAUGCCCAUAUUAUUAGUUGUAAACAAAUGAUAGAAUUGAAAAGAAUGGUUUGGGCUUUGUUCUCAGAAGAAACAAUGAUGGUAUUAUAAGUAGAGAAAAGGCUACAAAUUAUAGAUGGGAGAUCCUCUCAAUUAGAAGAUGUUAUGAGAGGAAGGUAAAAGAAAGAAUGACAAUAACAAAAAAUAGACACCAACCCAAGGCCCACAGCACAAAUAUCCAAGUCCACCACUGAAACACAAAACAAGGGUGAAGGUGAAGACAAGAUGGAAGGCAUUUGGCUUCAAGGGGAGAUAUGAUCUAUUGGCGAACCUAUCAGCUUCCUGAUCGGUUGCUCUAGACUUUCAACAGAAGGAGCAUCUCAUGUCUCUAGACAGCUUCUCUAUCCUUUUCAACCAAUGGUUAUGUCUCCAUAAACAACCCUUCUUUUAUUUGUGGCAGGUCGAUUUUACAUCUCAAACUUGCAUGGCAUAUUGCUGUUGAAUUGAAACCCACUAAAUUUAUUUUGGCAUUAUGGUCAUCCCCCUCUUAUGUGCUAACUUAUUUCAUUUUCUGCCAGGUUUAGCCCUGAAGCUCUAAACUGGCUGUUCAUCAAGGGAUUGGUUGGCUGGUUUUUGCAAGUCUCACUGCUGAAAGUAUCAUUGCUUUCAUUGGAUAGUGGGGAGGCACCUUUUCUGGACAUUGUGGCAUAGCAGCGUACACUUUCACAGGGAUGUGCUUGGCUGUCCUUGGGAGGGAUCAUGUGGAGCAUCUCAUAUUAUUUCUUGAUGCCCUGGGCAUGCCUAUGCAUGGGAAUAUUCUUGGUAAAGACCAUGAAGAGAAUCCUCUUUGCAGAGGUGAGGAGUUAUGUUUCCAGCAAGCAUCACUAUCUCUUGCUCCUUAUUGCUUUGGCUCAGUUCCCACUUUUCAUAUGGCUUGGCAACAUUAGCCUUCAUUAGCUUUUCUGAACUUCAUCUUUUGAUAAAUGUAUCCGGAAACAAUUUGCUUCUGUGGAAGUCUUAAAAUGUUGUAGUUUUGGUCUAUGAUCUCGGCCAAGUGACCAUUCUCCUGGACUAGAAAUAUUCUUUAAACUUAUGCUAAAGCUUAAAUAUGAUUCAAUUGUUCUCCUAGUUAAAACAGAAACCAAGCACUUGGCUUCCUUGUUCAGAAUUAUUUAUCCUUUUUUUCCCAAUUGAUUGGAAAUGAACUAGUUUAGCACUUGUACUUUGACAUGUUCACUUCAAGCAACUGUAGUUAAUAAAACAAUUGAGCAUGAACUGGAGUUGCCGAUGGAAUCCUGAAAGUGGAUGACAUAAAUUACUUGGUGCCUUCUUCUGGUACAUGAUACUCCUGAACUGAAUGUCAGCAUGGUAUUCAUGAAUCAAGUUUCAAAACAAUUGAGCUCAUAUAGAUCUUGCAUAACUGGAAAUCAAAGUGAAUCUCAUGUUGUUUUUGAUGGGUUUAGAAUAAAAUCAAUGACAUCACUAUGGCCUUUGUCAAUGACUUGGUUUUAAACUCUGGUUCAAAACAUCCACUGCAAUGGGAAAAUGACCUUAACAUCCAGUGAUGACUUCGUUUUAGACUCUGGUUCAAAACAUCCACUGCUAUGAGAUAAUGGCCAUAACAUCUGAUGGACCUCAUUUUCCCAGACACACGGAGAUGGAUUAGGUAGGGGUGACUCUGAAUCACUUGCAUUGAGUCUACUUCGUACAAAGUCCCUGAGGUCAGUUGAAGGUAGUCUGGUGAUCAGCUUGAUAAUUCCAAAUACUUGACGCGAGGCUAGAUGCUUGAGGGUAAAUCAAGAGGCACAGCAGUUGUAAAUCGUCUCCCCAUAUGGCAAAACCUAUUCUGUCACAAUGAUAAAAAGGUGUUCAAUUAUGGCAGGUAAUGGAGCUUCAGGCAAUAGGAUGUGAGACAGUGAGAGGUCAAGAUAGAGCAACAUACAUUUCUUGCCCAUGGAAUGAUGCCCAUCCAAUAUAUACAGACUGCAAUUUUUAGCAUAUUGAAGAAAGUUGGCCUCUCAUUAAGGCACUAAGAUCACAUUUAGAAAUCUCAAAGAAUUCUGAGAAUGUGUCGAUGCCUUGCAUCAUUCCAUUUAGAAAUCUGAGUUCCAGAAAGGUGUUAAUGCCGAUGUUCCGAAAUUUUGAGACCGUGUUGCAAUCUAUUCUCCUGCCACAGUAACAAGAUUUCUUUACAAUGAACAGUCAUGAUAAUUUCACAUCUGCUAAUGCUAGCAUAAGCCACAUUGAGAAAACAAUUGAUCCUUGGAUUAUUACCAAUCUCUAAGGAAUUGAAAAAGGCCAGAUGGUCAAGCUCCAAAGUUCUUGACGACAUUCCCAGUUCACCAAUCAACGAUAGUAUCAUACGUGAAACAGAAGACACAAAGUCUGGAACAUUCAAAAUCAAAAGCAUCUGUUUUGAUUAUUUAGCAAGAAAAAUAACAUAAUGGAUCUUAUUUGUAUGUAUAUCAAGUUUAACAACACGCCAUUGCAUGACUCCUUAAUUGGCUUCCAAUAUUCAGAUAAUUCAAAGGCACCAUUAUGUUUAAUUCCGAUAUAAAAGACUGUCAAAGAAGGGGGAUAUAAAUUUGUACGAGAGUUAACAAACCUCUGGUUUUUUGUCAGCAAAAUCUCAUUAACUGGAUUCCUGAAAAACGUAGUAAAAAUAAGUAAACGCUCAUUAGAGUUAAAUUCCAAAUCCAAAGUCAAUAGAAGGUUGUUUAUUGUAGAACCAAACACAAUUACUAAACCUUAUAAUGCAAGAACACAAAAUUGUCCAGAAACACAUUUUCCAUCUUAUCAGAUCCAAUUUAUGGCCUUCCUGCAUUACUGCAUUUUAUAUUUGAAAGGUAAAUCAGACAUUUUUUAUGUGAGUAAUAAGAGAGUAAAUGGCAUAAAAGGCAAACCAUACAAAUGAAGAAGUUGUAAACAUAUAAGAGUGCUUACUGAUCACUGUUGAAUGAUAUUUAAUUGUCUCUCUUUCAAUCUGCAAGAGUUUAUACUCAGUGAAUCACAGUAUGCUACCAAGAAUAAUGCCUCAUUUCCUCGUUGUUGGAAAAAAAUGUAGUGAAAAACAUGUAAGUUGCCAAUAGAAAUAUACUAAUUUAAAAAUAAAGCAUUUCAAAAUACAUAAGGUUUGUACAAGUUGUAACUGACCUGAAAAAAAUCUGUAUGAUAAAGCUCAUUUUAAUGAAUCCUAACAAUGGUUAAAAAGACAUCCAAAAGGAGGAAAGCUGGAUCAGCAUUGCGCAUCCACCUAAAAGGAGUAACAUGAAAUGCAUCAAAAUAAAAUGAGAUGAAAAGAAAAUAGUAGUGCUCAUAAAAAUCCUUUCUGCAAAAUAAUGCAUAAAGACGAGCAAUUCAUCAAUGUAAAACAAAUACAAACUGUUCUUUAUAUAGGUCAUAGUUCCAUCAGAGAGCAAUUUCAAACCAUCACAACAACUGAGCACAAGACUUAAUAACAUGGAUGACAAACCGAUCCUCAGAAGGAACAUAAAGAAAUGUGUGAUUCUCGACUCUCCAAGAGAUGUGUGACUAUUCAGUCUUACUGGCAGCUUCUCCAAGAUAGCACAAAAAAUAGCUUCAUGUCUACUGAAGACAGGUGAACUAAGCAGUGUCCAAGGAUCGGUGCCAAAAUCCUCUCUGUAAGCUAGUGCUUAGGGAACACCUCAAGUCAUAAACAUAGAAAAUUUAGAAAAAAAGUUAGCAAAUAUAGGAAUCUAAAAAAACCAAUAAAAAUGGAAAAUAAAAAUUGUAACUUACCAUGAUCUUGCUAAGCUGUUGUUUAUCCUCUUUCUACACUCUUAACAUCAACAAUAGAAACAAAAACAACAAGUGGCAAUAGGAAUUUGCCACAGUCACUAUAGACAUGGAGCCUCCAAAUAUAAAACCCGAAUCCCCUUCAACAAGAAGAAAAAUACUUAUACUCUGACACCUGGGACAUGCACCUUUUAUACCUGCAAACUCCAAAAGAAGAGAUACGGUUUCAUCAAAUUAAAAAUUUGAGAAACUAAAGCAAAACCGUUUUGUUUCUGCUCAAAUUUGUACAACUAGGCAUAUGUAAAUAUGACAGUAGAUCACAUUUUGGAAACCAAGUGGGAUAUAUUAGAAUAGAUACAAGCUGCUGUUGUUGCUAUGUAAUAAUUCCAUUAGGUAGUUCUGGGCUAUCACAGUCACAGAGAAAAGACCACUUGGGAUAAAUUGAAAACCAGUUCUUGUGAAAGACAAGUUUCAUGCACUGAAUGGUUCCCAACUUUCAAAGGAAAUAAAAGAUCAUACAACCUUAUGAGCGGCUUCCCCAGGAGGGCAAGAAAAGAGGUUCUUAUUUAUUAAAGAUGCAAAUGAAAUCUUGAUUCAGAGGACCUCUGUAAAGCACUGAAGAAUCUAUCACAAGUCAUAAAAGGAAAAAAAAUUUACAAAGAUAGUCCUUAGAACACAAUAAUAUAUAGAAUCAACUAUAUAAAUGAAAGGCACGCACCACAAUUUGGCUAGAUUGUAUUUUAUCCUCUUUUUGUUGUACUAAAAAAUGGUAAUAAAGUGCCAAUGAGCCUUUGAUAUAGGAUGAACAUUCCAAUCAGUCAGCACAAUGAAAAGACCACAUGACCUCCUGUGAUACUUUGGACCCAUCCUUUUGAUACCUGCAUCAUCAAUGUAAACAAUUUGGUACAUAAAACUGUAAGACUUAUUAUUACCGUUCAGAGGUAGCCGAGUUAAAUGACAACAACUUGCAAAAAUAUAUGUAUGGGAAAUAGAAAGUGAUAUUGAGGAGAGAAAGAGGAAGAAUUGCAUGUUGGGAAUGAGCAUCCAGUGGACAAGAAGAAAAUUCAAGAAAAUUAGUCAUCAAAAUAGAUAAAUAAAUAAACAAAAUAUAUAGAUGACGGUGACUCACUGUAGUCUUGCUGGCUUAUUCUUUGUCCCCUGUUGACACUAAAAAAAAAUAAAAAUAAAAAGAGCAACAGGGGACAACUGGAACUAGCUGCAUUCACUCCAUACUUUGAAGUCUUUGAUAUAAUACCUAGAGUUCCAUCCUCUUUGAGAACCUGCAUCAUAAAUGUAAAAAUUUAAUAACCAGAUGACAAGACACUGGAUAGUAGCUAUGAUGACAUCUAAUAAGUUGAACUAAAAAAAUCAUGGCUGCACAGGGGAAUUGAUAAAGCCAUCUAAUUACCAUAGCAAUUGAACUUUAAUAAACUGCAUUUGCUUCUAGUAUAUAGCCUCCUCUGUAUGUCAGCCUGAACUCUAUUCUGGAAAACAGAAAAUUAUACUUAAAAAUGCAAUUGAAUAGUACAACUGAUGGAAUAAAAAUUAGAAGACAUUGCUAACCAGUGGCUAUUGCUAAAUAUUCCACCUGCCCUUGAAUGGCAUAAAUGGAUCCUCUCUUAUCCUUUUUAUCGUUGUAAGUAUCACAUAUCACCUCUUCAACUUCAAUGGUCACUGAGAACUAAAAAGAACAAAGGAAAAAGGAAAAGUGAGUACCCCAUGGAGAUUAUGGACAAGAUUUAGUAAAUAGAAUUGGAGAGGCAGAGGCAGUGAUGCAUACCUAGAAUUGUGUCAAAUUGAAGAGAGAACCAAGCUACAAGCCAUUUCCAAAGCCCCUUCCUAGGCAAAUUUUUAACAAAAAGUCUAGUAAGAAACUUACAAGUAAUCAAUUGGGGAAACUGCUAUAAUGUAUAUGAGAAAUUGAACGAGGUAUUGAGGAGUGAAAGACAAAGAACAGGCGUACCUUGUUUAAUGUAAAGAUGGGAGAGGGUUGAAUGGUGUUUGCUCAAACACGUUUUUAUCAUCUGUUUGCACAUAGGGAAUGUGGGCGAUGUUGGGCCAAUCUUGCCCUUUCCUCUUCGAGCACCUUUGUUUUAGGAGUGGGCAGUCUUUGAUAUAUAGUCGUGAAAGCGUGUCAGGCAGCCCUUCCCUUGGGCAAAACGACUCAAGCUUAGGGCAACAUCGGAUCCAUAGCUCUUCAAGUGAGGUGAGGGUUUGGAGAGCCAGGGAGGAUAGAGAUUUCAGAUUCUGGAAAUCAUUAAUGGAAAGAAGGGUGAGGGUUGUAGGAAGAAUCGGUGGUCUUUGACCAUCUGAAAAGGAGGCAACUGGUGGAAAUAUGCCACCAAUGGUGAGUUUUUUAAGAGAGGUAAGUGUGGCAAGGCCCCAUCGGGAUAGGGGCGUCUUGAUAUUCUCACAAUCAGAGAUAGUAAGUGAUGUAAGAGCAGUGAGGUUUUGCAGAUGAUAAGGUUGCAGCUCCACAUUCUCACACUUAUUAAUCUUCAGUUCUCUGAGUUUGUAGAGACAAUCUGGUACAAUUUUGAGACAGGGAUACGACGAGAUACUCAAAUAUUCAAGUGAACUAUUAUUGGAGUGAAACAUCUCCUCUGAAAUCGACUCCAGUUGUGCAC